AAGGAUUUAUCCUGGUUCAGUUGUCAACUUGACAACCUACAUCCAGUCCUGAAAAUCCAAACGGAUUUCAGAUUUUCUUCUCCAAUAGAAAGAAUCAAUUACAGAUUGUCCAGUUUCCUCCCCGAAACCUAUCUAUCUUAAUGAUCUCUUUCCUAUUGAUUACCCUCUGAUCCUUGUAGAUACUCGUCAACCUAUCACAGAAUCACAGUGCGACUCUUUCUUGUUGAGCACUCUCACCCAAGAAAGUAGCCACCAGUUUCUAGCUGGCUUUCUAUCAACCCUUUGAUCCUUGUAGACAAUCGGCAGCCUAACACAAAAUCAAAGUACGACUCUUUCUUGUUGAGACCUCUCACCCAAGAAAGUAGCCACCAAUUUCUAGCUGGGUUUUUAACGUUCGUUUCGUUUCAAAGUAUUGUUACAGAAUGAAUAAAAGAAGUACAAAACAAAAGUCUUCAAUCUUGAUCAAAGUCUUCUCACGAAUCUGGAUAUUCAAUGAUUGUUCAUGAGGAAAAAGUCUUUGCUCUCAAGAUUACUUUUUCUUUUCUUUCUCCCAAUGAAUAUAGAUGAUCCUUUAUCUUGAUCUGAAAAAGCAGUAUCAGAUUUGUUAACAAAGUGUAUGUUGAUCUGUAAUCAAAGUUAUCUUGAGUUCUUAGAAAAGUGAAACGUUAUGAUCAAAGUUCUUCUUAGAAAAAGAUUGAAAGACAGUUUAUAUAGUUUCUGAAAAACAACUGCUAAAUCGAUUUCCCAAUCGAUUUAUUAAAGUUAAAACACAUGCUUAAUCGAUUUGCCAAUCGAUUUCGCGAGUCUUGUUUUUCUUUAAUCUUGAAACUAUAUAAG
rnacentral:lncRNA from 1 species